rnacentral:rRNA from 1 species
GAUGAACGCUGGCGGCGUGCUUAACACAUGCAAGUCGAACGGUGAAGGCGGAGCUUGCUCUGCUGGAUCAGUUGCGAACGGGUGAGUAACACGUGAGCAAUCUGCCCCUGACUCUGGGAUAAGCGCUGGAAACGGCGUCUAAUACUGGAUACGAGCUGCGAAGGCAUCUUCAGCAGCUGGAAGGAACUUCGGUCAGGGAUGAGCUCGCGGCCUAUCAGCUUGUUGGUGAGGUAACGGCUCACCAAGGCGUCGACGGGUAGCCGGCCUGAGAGGGUGACCGGCCACACUGGGACUGAGAUGCGGCCCAGACUCCUACGGGAGGCAGCAGUGGGGAAUAUUGCACAAUGGGCGAAAGCCUGAUGCAGCAACGCCGCGUGAGGGAAGACGGCCUUCGGGUUGUAAUCCUCUUUUAGCAGGGAAGAAGCGAAAGUGACGGUACCUGCAGAAAAAGCGCCGGCUAACUACGUG